rnacentral:rRNA from 1 species
UCCGUAGGCGGGUAAUUAAGUCAGAGGUGAAAUCCCACAGCUUAACUGUGGAACUGCCUUAGAUACUGGUUAUCUUGAGUUUUAGUGAAGUAGAUAGAAUGUGUAGUGUAGCGGUGAAAUGCAUAGAUAUUACACAGAAUACCGAUUGCGAAGGCAGUCUACUAACUAACAACUGACGCUAAUGGACGAAAGCGUGGGCAGCGAACAGGAUUAGAUACCCUGGUAGUCC